GCCAGCCAAUCGGGAACCCCGAUGAGCGUCUGUUGGCUGCCACUCACCUGUCAACCGUCAAUCAACAGCGUGUGGCCACGGGUCCCCAACUGUCAGUCAUCCUGUGGGUCCGUAGGCAGAGCGCUGCAUCCCUGCAUUCGUACGUUCCUUGGUUCAUUCAUUCAUUCAUUUAGCACGUAGUCCACGCAACUAACAUUUAUUGCGCCCAGGCUCGCUGCCAAGUCCAGGGGUGCAAAGUCAAACAUCCCAUACUUGCCUGCCUUUGGUCAAUCAACAGAUAUCUAUGGGGUGCCAACUAUGUAUCAACUCAUCAGCUGCAUCUCUGCCCUCCGAGAGCUUACAUUCCAGUGGAAGAGACAUGGUCCAAACCGACAAAUAAGAUAAUUUCAGAUGCUGCUAAGUUUUAGGAAGAUGAUAACACAAGGUAACUUACGCAGAAAGGAAUUUGUGCAAAGGAGUUCUAGAAGCUUAGAGAAUUGGCAAGAGAAAUAGGAUCAGAAAAUUGGCAGAAGACCAGGGGAACUGGAUGGCUGGAACCACAGCUAAGGAUUUUGCCACAAACAGCCUGCUGCCACCACUGGACACUGGAAGCCACAGGAAGCCUGGACCAUUUUUCCCCCUAGGUAGCCCUCAGCCUACCCAUCAAGAGGUUCCAUCCAAAUGAGACAGCGUGAAUGGAGAAACUGAGGCACAGAGCAGGCCAAUGACUUGCUGAAGGCUGCAGAGAGAGCUUGCGGUCAAGCUAGACGUCGAACGCAGACCUCCUGACUCAGGUUUCCUAACUGAGCUACAAAGUGCUUCAGAACUCACGAGAAAGGAGGGAAAUGUGAGGCUGGCAGGCAAGAAGGCAUCUUGACAGAGGUGGAGAGAAGAAGGAGGAAUAUCUUAAGAUGGCUACAGCUGGGGUGGGCCAUGAGAGAGACAUGAAAACCAUCGUAUGAAAGCCAUAGCUUUGUUGUCGGAAAUGCGGAACCUCAGGCCUGGUCUGCAUUUUAACCAGAUCCCCAGAUGACGCCAGUGCACAGUUUGAGGAGUUUGAGAAGCAACACUCUAUUCAGUGGGGAGAAAGCAGUGCAAAACCUUUUUUCAAAAAUCAUGGCUUUAGGAGGGAUAGUGUUCUAGCUCAUAAAUUAGGUGCUGGGUUCAUGGAUGAUGUUUAUUUUGUGAUUAAGCUUUAUAACCUAUUUCAGGGUUUUGAGCAAAAGUCAGCUCCUCAAUGAAGCUUUUUAUGGUCCCAUUAUUUAAAAUUAUACCCCCAUCACCCGCUCUGUCCUCCUUUCCUGCUUUAUAUUUUUCUGGAAUGCUUGUUACCAUCUGAGAGAUGAAAAACUGUCAGUUUUUAUUUGUAUAUUGUCUAUCUCUCUCUCCCUAUAAGGUGAGCUCUACAAAAGCAGCAAUUAGUUCUGGUUUAGUCCUUGCGCUAUCCCCAGCAUCUACAACAGGGCCUGGUACCCAGUAGGUCUUCAAUAAAUGCUUUUGGAAUGAAUGUGUUAUAUGGUACAUAUUAAAUAUUACAUAAUAAAAUGGCUUUUAAAGUUAAAAAACCA
rnacentral:lncRNA from 1 species